CAGCCGCCGCGGUAAUACGUAGGUGGCAAGCGUUGUCCGGAAUUAUUGGGCGUAAAGGGCUCGCAGGCGGUUUCUUAAGUCUGAUGUGAAAGCCCCCGGCUCAACCGGGGAGGGUCAUUGGAAACUGGGAAACUUGAGUGCAGAAGAGGAGAGUGGAAUUCCACGUGUAGCGGUGAAAUGUGUAGAGAUGUGGAGGAACACCAGUGGCGAAGGCGACUCUCUGGUCUGUAACUGACGCUGAGGAGCGAAAGCGUGGGGAGCGAACAGGAUUAGAUACCCCUGUAGUCCCUGUCUCUUAUAC
rnacentral:rRNA from 1 species